CGCCAUUUUCAAAAAAGAUGAGAAGAACAGAAGAAGAUGAACUGUGUCCGUCAUUUUAUACCCCGUGGGGCUCCUCCUCCACUGCUCUCAUAGGCCUAAAGUCUCUCCCAGUCUUGUAAGUGAUUCCUCUAUUCUUGUUCUCAUUAUAGGUACAUCAGAGCUGAAGCUGUUGAAGACUGAGCCAGGAUAUUUCAAGUUGUAUGGUAGUGUGUGUAUUAUAUCAUAUUAUACUGGCUCUAUUGUUUUAUGUAGGACCACCAGUCAGUAUUUCAAUGAUCCAUUCAUUCAUUAUUGGUACGUGUGUAUUAUUAUUAUGUACACUCUAUGUUUGUAGGUAAUAAAGUCCUGCCCUAAUCUUUAUACAUGAUAUUACUCAGUGUAUUGUUUCAAGUCUCAUCUAUUGUACAGUAAAUAUGUGUUGUUCUUGUAUUAUUAUCUAUUUUACAGGUUAUAUUCAUGUACUUGAUUUAUUCAGGAUAUUUUAAGUAUUGUCCAGUAUAUGAUUAUAUUAUUAUUCGUUUUACAGGUGAUAAAGACACUGAAUUAAGUCUUUAUGUGGUAGUUAUGUUGGUUCGGUAACAAAUGGAAUAUUGUGACAUGUAUUUUUGUUUAUUUUUAGGAUACUAUCAGUAUUCUAAAGAUAGAACUACCUAAAGCGCAAAUCAAGUGUAUGGUAUAGUCUGGCAUUUUGUUAACAUUCUUUUCUUUCUCAUGUUUUGUUAUUAAUUAAUUAUUAUUUUUAUGAGGGUAUUCUUUUACUGUCAGUAUCUUAUUGGUAAUACGUGAUGAUUUAUUUUAUAUCUUUUUUAUUUUCAGGUUGAUGUUCAUUACUAGUAUCAAUGGAUCAGAGGCAGUUCUCUCUAUUGGUUAAUGAUAUCCACACACUAUCAUGUACAUGUACAUCCUUAUCUGUAACAUGUAUUCUAUUUCCCUUUCCUUAAGAUUGCUACAUAGACUCAAGCCAGCAUGCAGUCUUCUUCAGCAUCAAUUCAGUCCAAGUCUUCAGUGUAUGGUAACAAUGUAUCUAUUGCAUGUUAUUAAUAACCUUGAUUACAGUGCUAAUAAUAAACGGCUCAUUUUAUCACUAUUCAUCCCAUUACAUGUAAUAAAGCACUGUCCCAUUGAUCUUUACUUAUUCUAUUGUUUAAACAUUUUUCUCUUUUAUUUUUUACAGGGAUCAAGUUUAAAGUCGGUUGAGUGUGAGGUAGAGUGAGAGUUAAUAAUGUAUAAUUACGCAUGUUUAUAAUGUAUUUUAUGCAUGUACAAUAUAAUCCACACAUGUCCUUCCACCCCCCCCACCCCACCUCUAGUAGGUCUGACUGUUCUGGAUCUGGACUCGGGGAUCAAGUUUAAAGUUGGUUGAGUGUGAGGUAGAGUGAGAGUUAAUAAUGUAUAAUUACGCAUGCUUAUAAUGUAUUUUAUGCAUGUACAAUAUAAUCCACAUAUUCUGCUCUCUCCCUCCACCCCCCCUC